rnacentral:rRNA from 1 species
UACGGGAGUGGCAAGCGUUAUCCGGAAUUAUUGGGCGUAAAGCGUCCGCAGGCGGUCUUGUAAGUCUGUUGUUAAAGCGUGGAGUUUAACUCCAUUUCAGCAAUGGAAACUGUAAGACUAGAGUGUGGUAGGGGCAGAGGGAAUUCCCGGUGUAGCGGUGAAAUGCGUAGAUAUCGGGAAGAACACCAGUGGCGAAGGCGCUCUGCUGGGCCAUAACUGACGCUCAUGGACGAAAGCCAGGGGAGCGAAAGGGAUUAGAUACCCCUGUAGUCCUGGCCGUAAACGAUGAACACUAAGUGUCGGGGGAAUCGACCCCCUCGGUGUCGUAGCCAACGCGUUAAGUGUUCCGCCUGGGGAGUACGCACGCAAGUGUGAAACUCAAAGGAAUUGACGGGGGCCCGCACAAGCGGUGGAGUAUGUGGUUUAAUUCGAUGCAACGCGAAGAACCUUACCAGGGUUUGACAUCCUGCGAAUCUUUUGGAAACAGAAGAGUGCCUUCGGGAACGCAGUGACAGGUGGUGCAUGGCUGUCGUCAGCUCGUGUCGUGAGAUGUUGGGUUAAGUCCCGCAACGAGCGCAACCCACGUCGUUAGUUGCCAGCAUUGAGUUGGGCACUCUAGCGAGACCGCCGGUGAUAAACCGGAGGAAGGUGUGGAUGACGUCAAGUCAUCAUGCCCCUUACAUCCUGGGCUACACACGUACUACAAUGCUACGGACAAAGGGCAGCAAACUCGCGAGAGCUAGCAAAUCCCAUAAACCGUGGCUCAGUUCGGAUCGUAGGCUGCAACUCGCCUACGUGAAGGAGGAAUCGCUAGUAAUCGCAGGUCAGCAUACUGCGGUGAAUACGUUCCCGGGCCU